GCGGCUCAGUCGGUGAGAGCCUGGUGCUGAGAACGCCAUGGUUGCAGGUUCGAAGCCCAUAAGGGGCA